CCUCCCAAAGUGCUGGGAUUAUAGGCAUGAGCCACCGUGCCCGGCCUCACAUACAGGUUUUGGGGACUUAACCUUAUUCUGUCUGUUCCUUCCACAUGUUUGCAGCUCAGAAGGCAGUGGUCUUGUCUAGGGUGCUCUCUAUGCAUCUUGCAGAAAGCAGUGUAUAAGCAGCUAUGUGGACACAGCACAUAAGAGCGCCCUGUGGUCCUAUCACUUCUAGCAAGUCUCUGCUUCCUCUAAACUUACAUACACAGGGACAUCCUGUUCCUACAGACCACAGUAGAUGAGGGCUGGACAGCCUGACAGACGCCGGGAGAAGUGAGUAGUUCUGACGCACCCGGCUUCCCUUCCCUUUCCAAACUCUUAGCUAUUUUUUUUCUUUAUUUUCCUUCCUGUGUUGAAAGAGCUAUGGGGCCUGGACCAUAGUAGGGUUUCCUGGGGACAUUCCAUAAAUUCUUCAUGGGUUAUUUCUCUGGAGAGGGGUGGGAGCAAGUAAGCUGGUAGAUGGGAGGCCAGCAGGGGCCUGGGUAUGAAUGUCAAGUACCUCAAAGCAGCGUGGGUGGGAAGGAAGGGUGAGCUGCACAGAGGAGGAAGGAGGGGUGUCAUGAGCUCAUAGAAACCGCCAAAGAAAGGCCAAGCAAAGAGUGAGAAGAAGCAGCCAAAUCACAGGUCAGAACAAGCUGUGGGUAACCACGCCCCCAGCUUUGCCCUUGAACCUGCUGACUGGUCUCCACAGUAACUUGUCCGUCAGGGUUUCAAUAAGGCCAGGAGAACUUGGCCAACUCAGGUGUGUGACUUGGAUAGAUGCCAAGCAGCCCCUAGUGUGUGCUGUGCACGAUGCAUGGAGAUAUGGGGAAAGUCAACUCAAGGUCCCUUUGUAUCUGGUUGGGUCCCUUUUCCUUUAUUCACUUCUCAUCCAUCCAUCCAUUCAGCAAACACUGAUUCCUUAAUUCACAUCUAGAUCUGAAGAGAGUGAAAGCACUGGCCCCUAGCUGACCUCUGUAGCAAGCCUGGACCUGAAGAUCAUUCUCAGUCUCCCUCCCUGGGCUCUAGAGCUACUUCUUUAAGUAAAAAUGGUGCCAAAUUGGGUGUCAAGGCAAGAAGCAACUUGUCCUAGAUCUCUAUGCUUGGGCAAGUCAAUUUUCUUCUCUGGACCUCAGUUUCCCUGUCAAAUAAUGAGAGUAUUGGGCCAGGCAAUCUCUAAGGUUCCUUAAAGAAUGGUUCUAUUUUUCAAAGCAGUUUUGAAGCCUAUCCCAUGAGUGAACACUCGGUGACAGGAUUAAAGGGGAAGAAGGGAACAGUCCAAAAAGCAUGACCCCUGCCUUUCACAGAACUUUCAAGAGAAUCAAGGAGACAGAAUGACACACAUGACCUGGAGCAGUGACUGAAGGUAGGGGAAAGGUGCUCACGCUAGCCUGUGUGGUUUCUGCUGGCCCUUAGAGAGCCUGUGUGCCAUUUAGGAAAAGGUGGUCCCUAUGGGUAGAUGACUUAGUAAGAGAAGUCCCAUGAGCAGAUGUUUAUACCACAGGGUACAUGAUGUGACAGGGAGAGCUCAGGCUGGAUUUCAACUCCCACUAGGCCCGUUAACACAAUCCUCCUAGGCCAGGCACAAUUUGCUCAACUGGAUAUGGUGACCCUGGCUGAGCAGGGAAGUAGCCGGCCUCAGGGUUCCAAGCUGAAUUGCUUCUUGGUAGAAGCCACUUUUAAAUCUUAGCAGAAUUUCACACAGCAACUCCUUCCCUUCCCAUUUUGGAAAAGCAAAUGCAAGGACCACAUUCUUUCUCUCUUCCAUGUGCCGAAAAGCCAAGCUAGGGUCCCUAGUCCCAGGCAGAGUGGAGGGCACAGAAGAGGAACAUGUAGGAACCUCUACAGCAAGUGAGGAAAUGGUUAAAUAUCUUUGGUAUCAUGAGAACCAGAAGAAGCCUGGAGGGUUUAGCACUGCUAGGUGAACCCAGACCAGUUCUUCUCACCUCCCCUGGCAGUAAUUCAGAACAAGCAGAACAUAGAAAUUCUUCCUUGGGCUCACUCCAGGUUACCCUCCUUCCACAUUUCCAAACAACAUCCCUCCCAAGGCUCUAAAUGGAUUAGGAGGAAAGAGCUCCAGGGUGAUGUCAACAUCAAAGGGUGAGAUGCAGUGAGGUCUUGCAUGUUCCUUGAUCCACAGGUGCUGGGACCAGGGAAAGGUGGCAGGAGGGUAAGCUUGGGAAAAGGGAUUAGCUGAGACCGGAAAGAAUGUGGCUGCUCUAAUCCCACAUAAUGAACCAGAUUGUGCGCCCUCUCUGCACCCUAGGCACUAGACAAGCUGGUACAAGCUGUUGGCUUCAGCCUGCUGCACAAGAGGCCUCCCAUGCUGCCAUCCCCAGACAGCCUGUGCCCUCCAGCUGGCAGAAGUACCCUGGGAGGCGCAAGGUCCAUGGUGGUGUGGGAGCAGAUGUGCCCCAGGGCAUGGACAGGAAGGUUGGAACCUGUGUCAUGGAGCAGGAGCAGAGCGAGACUCUGUGCGGUUAUGUGAAGCGAAGUGGCUAUACCUUGCCCCAGAGUGAAGAAGGAAGGGGGAAAUGUGGAGCCUGAGACAGACACUCACAGAGGCCAGGUGAUGUAAAGAGACAUCCACAUCCUCAUCUGACCAUCUACAAGCUCAGAAGAGAGGUCUGGAACAGCUCCUUCCCUCACAGCCAUCAGAAGGAAUCAACUCUGCCCACAUCCUCAUCUGGGACUUCCCAGUUUCUGAACUUGGAGAAAAUAAAUUUCUGUUAUUUAAGCCACCUGGUCUGUGAUACUUUGUUACAGCAACCCUGGCAAACUAAUACAACAGGGAGGAGAAAGGCACUCAAACUUCAUGGUUCAGGAAUUGUUCUUUUAAAGGAGAGGGGUCUGGGUGUGCAGGCACACGAAAAUUUGCAGAGAUAGGCGGGUAUCUCUGACUCCUGCUGCCUUCACCUAGCCCAGAAAACAGUAGCCCAGAGAACUCACUUGCUCUGCCCAUGAUAGCUUUGGGAUGCGAAUUAGGAUGUGCUGAUUUCUGCUGUUCCUGCAGAGUGGACCCUACCCUUUUUUUGCUUCUCCUGCCCAGAAGAGUGAAUCUGCCACUUGCCAGACCCCAAGGAGAGAUCUCUCUCACUCCCACCCCGGCUCCUCCUCCAGGCACAAGCCCUGUCCUGGGACUGCUUUUAACGUCAGGGAGAGAUUUCUGUUGUUUUUUUUUUCCCAGGUCUCCCAGUAGGCUCUGAUCGAGCCCUGGAAACCACACCAGCUCUCCCAGGGCCUUAGCAAAACAUGUAGUGUUUGUCCUCUCCACUCACAGGCUAUAAAAGUUUGGAGUUGUAUCCCUGAAUUAUGAAGGGUUCCAAGAUGUGCACUCAUCUGAGGGGCUGGCGGGGGCUCUGUUUCUUUCUGGGGCACUGGCUGAGCUGGCUUUGCAAAGUCAAAACAAGAUUCAUUACCCUGGGGCCGGGAGCAGGGAGAUACACCGCCUGACCCUGCAGACCUGCCCCAUAUGUCAUGGGCCUGUCAGAAAUCUCCCAGAAUUCCCUUUAUUAUCUAAAGGUCGCCACCCGGGCAGAGCUGAGAGAGCCGCAUGGUAUAAACUAAAAUACAAGAACAAUCAAUUUCAAGCAGCUGCCUUCCCUGCCACCCCAUCCCCUGCUCCCCCUUCCUUAGGCUCUGCCCUCUUCAACCCCCUUUGGGGGAGGGUCAGGAAGGAGCCCUGCUUUGCCAUGGCCACCUCCCCGCUGGGUCAGAAAGAAUUUCUCCAAAUUAGCAGGGCUCUGAUGCUAUGAGAAGCAGGCUGUGGGAGCACUCCAGCCUUCUGUGCAAACGGAGUCCGAGAAAGGUCAUCCCACCUCUUCCCUGAUUCUAACAGGACCCUAUUUAAACCAUCUUAUCAAUUGAGUUGCUGUUCUGGUAGACAUUAUGGGAUUAAAGGACAAAAAAAGGAAUUCUCAGGCUCCUUCCAAAGGCAGGAAAAGGAAAUAAAAGUAGGCAUAUGGCUUUGCCAAGCCAAGUCAAGAUUCAUGUUAGGAGACCUCAUACUCUAAUGACCAUGAGUAGCAAAUUACUAGCAACUCUCACUUAUUUUCUGGAAAAAAAACUAUGAAGAGUAGCUACUAUUAUUAUUAUUUAUUAACCACCUGCUACAUGACACGCUAUGCUACAUGCCCUGUAUAUGCUAUCCAUAGUUGUGUGAUUAGCUUGCAAGGUGAGCAUGACUAUCCCCAUUUCACAGAUGAAGAAAUGGAAUCUCAGGAAGCCUAACGUGACGAGCAUCAGCUAAGAAGCCAAGAUUCUCGAGGCCCAUGCUUUCCCUACUAUUCUACACUGCCUAGAUUUUUAAGACUUAUUUUUCAGCCAAACCUUCUUAUCACUGGUCUGGGAGAACUCACCAGAAUGUUUAGUAAGACUUGGCAAGUACUUUAUGUUAAAGGUCAAAACUUGAGGCUCCACAGUUCCAUUUAUGUCUACCCUGAGCUGAUCCUUUAUUUUGGUAACCAGGCAGUGCUGGGGUAGGGCACACAGGAGUCCUGGUUAUCAAGCACCAGGUGGAAUCCAGGGGUGUUUUGUGGCAGGAGCUUUGCUAGCUUGGCAGCCGCCUUUCAGAGCAAUUCCAAAUGAUAUUUUCAAAGAGCCUGGAAAUGUCUCUCAUCCAGUCUUCACUGUACAAGGGAGAGCCAGGGACUCUUCGAGGUUGAGAUGGGGCAGGAGAGCAAGCUUAAAAAGUACUCAACUAAAAGGUUAAAUAAAUUACAGUUACUCCAUAUAAUGGCAUAUUGUGCUGCCAUUAAACAUAAUGUUUUCAAAAAUAAUGACACUGCUCUAAUUUAUACUACUGGGAGAAAAAAGGAGGAACAAUGAGGGAGUAAGAAAAAGCCAAAACAAAGCAGUAGGCAUUCAUCUCAACUCUCGGUCCAUGAACUGACCCUAAAAUCCCACUUACUCUCCUUUGAAGCUGUCCACAUCUUUUUCUUCUUGAAGAAAAAUGUUAAUGGCUCCCAGGAGACCCAGGUGAGAGAACUUCCUGCUUUCUUUUGCAGACCUUCCUUGUUACCUCCAGUGACCUCACAUGGCUGGCCACUGAAGUGCUCUAGGGACAAGGAUCACUCCCAAUCCCUGAUGCUUCAUCUCUAUCUCAGGGAGAGUGGCCAUUAGUGCCAGAUGAUGUGCACUUUUUAGCACUGCUCAUUUCCAGAAGCUAGGGUUCCCAAAAGUUCAAAGGGCGGGGCUCUUCACCAGGAAUCCUCGUGCUGCCUCCCUGAAAAUAAUGCUUGUAAGACAGUGACAUUGUCACCAUCCAGGCCUUCCUCUGAGAUGGACCCUGGUGAAACCCAUUGGCAGCCAAGAUCCAGCCACAGAUCUGCAAGUUGUGCCUUGUGCUGCCUCAUUCCUUGUGUCUCAGACCCAUUGUCUGACUUUGCCAGGCACAUGGCUGAAGUGUGAAAUUCACCUAUGGAAACACCUUCUGUGUUUCUAUCUGGGCUGUUGCCCAGAUAGACUCAGCACUGCUAAGCACCCAAGUUCAAGUCCUUUCCCAGCUGGCUCUUCUGUCUUUCUCUAACCUCACUGCCCACCUCUCCCAGAGUGACUCCUCUCCCAACAAACUGGUUGGUCUGUUGAGUCCCCAAAACGCCCUGCCCUGGAAUGCUUGUUUCCACUCCCUUCUUUGCCUAUCCAUACCCAGCCCAUCCUUCAAAGCCUCAUAAACCCUCUAGGGCCUCUCCAUCUCCAAUCUCCUUUCUCUCCUCCAAAGUCAAUUAAAAACUGCUGGUUUUAAUGGUUUCCUCUCAUGGCCCUCGGGUGAUUUAGGACCACUUGUGUUGCUCUUGCUGGUUUGUCCAGGCACCUGUGGCAGCACAGAAGGGCGUAGAGGAGGAAAGGGGAAAACCGGUCCUGAGGAGGAGGAGAAGAUGCUGAGAUACCAGCUCCUUAGGCUCAGCCCCGCAUUCUCUGGGCCCUUCCCAUACAGGUCUGCCUCAGUACACAGGCUAAAUUUCCUCUUCCUUCCUUGUCUUUCCCUGCCUCUCUUUCUCUCUAAAAACUGCUAGUUUUUAAUUGACUUUGGAGGAGAGAAAGGAGAUUGGAGGUGGAGAGGCUAGAAUCACACACUGAUUCUAGCACACACUACAUUGCAGCAUUGAGCUGUCUUUUUUAUGUGACUAUUUCCUAUCUCCCCACUGAAUUAGAGGCUCUUUGAAGGCAGGAACAAUAUCUCGUGCUUCUUGGUAUCCGUGCAGGGCUAGCAUGAUAACUUUCACUCAGUAUUGUGUUCAGCCUGAAUUGUCAAGAGCAGCGCGAGGGGGUGCCCAGGUGUGCUCAUUUGCUUUUUCUCAGUGGACACUGUCCCUACUAGUUGGCCUCAAGAAAUGAUUUGAACUAAUACACUUGGCUCAGGGAUCUGUCAUGACUGAUCUUCAGGAGGUAGUGAAGAAGGAGGUAAAUGAUUUAGGAAGGAUCCUGGCUAUUAUUUGCCUUGAACCCACUGGGUGAGGCUAGAUGGGUGAGGUGGGAAGAAAGAUGGAGAAGAAUGGGAAGAUACCAGCUCUGUCUUUGAAGAAUGUAUAAUCUAGACUUGUGCAGGAAAAGUCUUUGCAAGACAGCUCCAGAGCCGUUAACCAUAUAAUAUCAUGGAUCACAUAAAAAGCACAUAAUAAUAAAAAAUGACAAAUUCACAAUAUAAAGUGAUGAACAGAGUGGGGUGAGGGAAGUCCCCUUGGAAGGUUCCAGAACAGGGUCUUCAACAAGGAGGUCAAACUCGCAGCGCUGGAUGGCGCAGAGAAAAGACCUUGGCCUUUGGAGACGGACCUGGGCUCAAGUCUCAUUCUAUCACUUACGAGUCUGGUGACCUUGAACAUGUUAUUUAACCUUUUGGAGCCUCGCUUUCCUCAGCUGUAAAAUGACACCUCACAGGGUUGUGGUGAGAAUCAAUGAGAUAAUGGAUGUGAAAUUGUUUUGUAAACUCUAGAGCUCUAAGUAAACACCAGUUAUUCUUGUUUCUGCUUUUGGAGAAACACUGUACAAGGACAUCAUCUCCUUGGCUGCCUUGUAUGAUGGUGACAAACUCCGAGGGUUCUGUUUUAGCUCGAGAGAUUGGUGAUCAUUGUGCAGCAGAACCUGGUGACCCAGCACCUGCCUCCCCAGACCCAGUCCUCUCGGAAGAAACAAACAGGGUGCUGCUAGUCCCACCUUCUCCCCGUGCUGACCUGAGGUCUUGAGUUGUCAUUCCCACCAUUUCUAUCAGUGGUCCCAUGAUUUCAGGCCACCCUCCUCUCAUGGCCCUUGGGUGAUUUAGGACCACUUGUGUUGCUCUUGCUGGGUUGUCCAGGCACCUGUGGCAGCACAGAAGGGUGUGGAGGAGGAAAGAGGAAAACCGGUCCUGAGGAGGAGGAGAAGAUGCUGAGAUACCAGCUCCUUAGGCUGGGGCCUCGCAUUCUCUGGGCCCUUCCCAUACAGGUCUGCCUCAGUACACAGGCUGAAGUUCCUCUCCCUUCCUUGUCUUUCCCUGCCUUUCUUUCUCUCUAGUGCUUUUCUGAACCAACAGCCAGCCUUCCAAUAAAAAAGCUUUAACUCCUUUUCAGGAGGAAGCUUCUUAAGCAGGCUAUGUCCCCACCCUGUAUCUUCCUACCUGCAGUUUCUAUUAUUUUUCUCUCUUUGUCUGAGACUCCCAGCUCUUGCAGUAGAGAUCCUUAGCUGUCAGACAGCCUCUCCUAAGUAACAGGCACGCUCACAAUUACACACACCAAGCAAGGGGAGUGCCAUGGAGCUGGAUUAAAGGGGCAUGCAGAAACUGAGGGGUGGCUGGAACUCUGGGCAGAGGUCUGACCACUUAAAGGUCUUUUCUGUGCCAAGAUGUAGAGACACUCGGCCUGAAGGACCCUUAAGCACCUGGAGUGGCAUCAGUCCCUUGGUGAAGGAGCACAGUUAGUAGACAUUUGAGACCCUUGAGGCGCUAUCAGCCCAGCCCCGGACCUCUUGGAUCCCUCAGCCCACUGUGAGGGAGAGUGACGGGCGCAGUUUUCUGAGAGGUUGAGACAGGGGGAAGAAUGUGCUGAUGGGGAGCAGGGUGGGAAUGGCAGGCCGGGGAGGGAGGACCUAGGGCAGGAGAUGAAAAGUGCUCCCUGAGUGAGAAUCUGGCCCUGGAUGAUGAAUGGGGUGUGAGAGAGAAGCCGGGAAAAGGGUAAACAGCCAGGAGGGACCCAGGAGGGAAGCGGGAGGGAGGGGUGAGGAGAAAGAAUGUGGAGGUCAAGGAGCAAAGAAAAUGCUCCUGGAGUGAUUGACUCAAGAUCCAACAUGUUCCGCACCGGAUGAAGGCACAUGUGCACACAGAUGUGCCUGGUCACCCGCCCUCCCCUCCACACGCCUGCGAAGGUGUGAGCACGUCUGUCUGCUCUCCUCCCAGAUGCAUUCCAUGCCCUUCGGAAAAACCUUUCUUCUGAUGUUUGGUUCUGAGUGUGCAAGGGACCCCACUGUAAUACGAACAAGUAUUUGUGCAAUGAUUUUAUAGUUUCCUAAAAAUUUCACAUGCAUCAUCCCGCUAACGUACCCCUUACUCAAGCUGGUGAGGUUGAGAGCAGCAUACGCAUCACCAGUUUACAGGUGAGAGGACUUAGGUAUAUUUGAGGUUGAAUAUUUUGGCAAAGGCACCAGAUGUGAAAGUGGGACUUGGACUUGGGGGGUCCUGGAGUUAAACAUGUCACUUGGCUUCUCUGCUGCCUGACGUUGCAGAUGCCACCAACUGAUAUAUCUUGGAAGAGAUCACUUACUCAAGAGGAUACUCUCUGCCUGCACAUAAGCAAUACUCUGACCAUAGUUGGGGAUAUCCUGUUACUACUCUUUGCAAAUGGAUAUGGGGUCUAAGGAGCUGUGACUCAGAGUUGAAUUCUUGGGCCCUGUGAAUGUUUAGAGGAAAAGGCCUGGGGCUGGGAGCUGCUGGCCAUCCACUGAAUGCCAUUUGGCUCUUGCCCAGUUCUGGCGGGUGGGAAGGAGGGCUGGGGAGGGGCUGAGGCCUGGACAUGGCCCCAGGGGCUUGCACAGGUGGUGGCAGAUGGAAAGGAUCCAAAAGCACAAAUCUGUAAGGAGAGACCACUGUGCCAGUCUCCCUCUCCCCAGCCGGCCCUUUAUUGUGGGAAAGAAUGCAGCUGCCAGCAACCCCUCUGAAGACCAAGCACCUCUGCAGUCCCUGCAGCCAGCCCAAGAGUGCAGAAGGCUCCUAUCUGCCUUGACUCCUCUCCUUACCCAUCUCCUCCCAGCUCUCAGCCCUGGCCCUGCUGCUCUUCAAUUCCCGACAGUGGCAGAUCACUGAUUAAUUCAGGCCUGUUUAAUAACCCUUCUAUUUCGAUGAAACAAGCUGUCUUGUUUUCUUUAUUUUUAACACUGACUUUCGUUUCUUUGCUAAGCAUCUUACUGUCAUUUAAAUUUCUCUGUCUCCAACCAAGCUGAUAAUAGACUGGAGUGAGCAGCUGCUUCCGUCCCGUUUAUGACAAUGAUUAGAAGAAGUUAGAGCUGUGCAAGCAGAGAAUUGACCAAAUCUCAGUUCAGAGGGGUCUGCUCCUGCUUGUAGAGGGAGUGUUAAUUUUAACAUGAUUAGGAGAAUUCUGGCUCCAGAGGAGACCAGGGCUAAUCCCAGCCUAGCCUUCCUCGCACCCUGCUCGGUGGAGACUGCCAUGGGCCUGAAGGUGUGAGAACCAACUUUACUUACUUUGGAAUUCAAUUGUAUGGACCUGACACUCCACUUCAUAACACAGCCUUUUCCUCCACUGAAUUUGGAUUUACUUAGCAGCAAAGAGGGAACUCAAGCUUAGAAGAUUUAGGGUGGGUGGAGACCUCAGCUAUCAGCUACGAUACCUUUCUGCUCUAUGCAGGAAUCUCUUCUUGAGACCUGGCCAUCUUCUAGCCUCUGCUUGAAUUCCCUAAAUGUUGUAGAGCCCAUUCCCUCCCUAAGUAGCCUUUUCCAGGCUGGGAUAGCUCUGGCUAAUCUCUCUCCUUCUGUCUUUUUGCAAUACUUAUUUGUGACUUGUAGGACGAUGAUUUGCGUGCAUACCCUCUCUUGCCAGGUUGAAACCUCCUCAAGAGCCUGGACAAUGACUUGUCUCCCCUCUAUCAUACUCGGUAUAUGGAUAUUCUAUAAACACUCGUUCAGUCAAAUGAAAUUAUGCUGCACCAACUUUAAAAUUUCUUGCAAGGAACGUAUCUUUUUUUCUUCUCCCAGGUGAAGCUUUCUAUUUUUCUCUAUGCAGACAAAUGUUGCCUCUUCCCAUCCCCAGGCCAGACAUGGCUGCUUCCCCAGGGCCCUGCUUUUUCUUCCUGGCCCCCAGGGACUGCACAGUUGGUGGAAAAUUUGGCCAAGGAAGCUGGGGGCCCGCAGUGGAAGUCAAUCGGGUGGCCUAGACCAGGUUCUCUGGAUCCCAGCCCUCUUCAUUUCCUCCAGGUCAGCCACAGCUGCCUGAGAAUGCUCCCAGGUGCAUGGUGUGCAAAUCCAAGCUGGGGCGACCCUCCCUGCCUCUCAUUCCCUCGCAGCCUUGUGAGACUGGAGCUCUCUGCGCCUCCCAGCCAGCACAGUUUGCAGGCAGCUGCUUGGGUCAUUGUCUCAGCCUCUUCAAGCUGUGAAUGCUGAGUCUAUAGAGACUGAAACACAAACAGUGCCCACAGUGCCUCUCGGGGAGGGAGGGGCAGCUUGGCCUUGCCAGAGCCAUUGACUGUGCAAAUAUCAAGGCUUGCUGUGGAUGGAGGAAAGCUGGUUGGAGCUAUUUAAAAGGGGGGGUCUUUUGACACCACACUGCGCAGCACCAUGGAAGGGCUGUGGUGUGUGCUAAGGGCCGGCAGAUGGGAAGAGAAGAGGAGAGGUCAGUUCUCACAGGGAAUACUGCUUCAUCGUGAGAUGCCUGUCUGCUCUAAACCAAGGAAGAGAGAGAUGGGGGAGGUCACUGGGCACAGUGCAGGGGACAAGAGACCGAAAAGAAAAGGUAGCUAAGUGGGCAGAUCAAGAGAGUGUGGUGAGUGAGGCUGGGGCAAACAAAUAUCCUAGCAAUUGGAGGGCAGUGAAUGGCAGCUUGCUGUGUGACUCAGGGCAAUACACUUACCCAGUUUGGACUUGGGUUUCACAUCCACUGUGUGGGCCCGGGUAAAAGGUACUAUUAAACACUCAAAAACAUUUCCCAAGUAUUCUACACCAAACACCUAUUUAUUCUGCAGUUCAAACUCUUUCUUAAAAAAUAAUAUUUAGAAAGGAAAAUCAAGGGCUCUUGCUGACCCCAUUUUCUGCAGCAGGCUCUUGGACAGUGCUAUGGGAUGUUUAGGACUCUCCUCUCACAGGCCCCAUCCCGCACUCUGCAUUUCCAACAGGGACAAAGCUCCUUGUGUUGCUUGGGGAGCUUCUUGGCCUACUAGAAGACAGCUAAUGCUUCUCCCCAGACAUCCUGCUAGGUUUUGACCGAUGAUCAGUGCUACCAAGGAUCUGAUCCCUGAGCCCCAGCGUCCAGCUUGGGCUCCUGGACUCCACUCCUGCUAACACACUCUGUGAUGUGUCUGCUCCAUCCAUGUCCCUGCCCCCAGGAGCUCUCGUGAGAUGCCUGUCUGCUCAAAACCAAGGAAGAGAGAGAUGGGGGAGGUCACUGGGCACAGUGCAGGGGACAAGAGACUGGAAAGAAAAGGUAGCUAAGUGGGCAGAUCAAGAGAGUGUGGCGGGUGACGCUGGGGCAAACAAACCUCCUAGCAAUUGGAGGGCAGUGAAUGGCAGCUUGCUGUGUGACUCACGGCAAUGCACUUACCCAAUUUGGACUUGGGUUUCACAUCCACUAUGUGGGCCUGGGUAAAAGCUACUCUGUGCAGGAGAGAUGCAAGCCCUGUUGCAGCCAGGCAGCCAGAUACCCAUGAGCUCUGCGUUUUCUUAUUCCAUGAAGGGUUGACUCCCACAGCAAUGCCAACCUACCAAUCCUACGACAGUGUCAUUCAUGUACACUCUCAGAGCUCUGAAGGCACCAAAAACCCAAGGGCGGCAAAGGCAGAAUUCAAAUUCCAAUCCCACUGGCUAAAUGCUGACCACAAGCCCUGAAUGUGGUCUCCUUGCAGGGCCACUAUUGGCUUUCUUCUCUAUGUCCCAUCUCCACCAAGUCUUCAGCCCUUUAUUCUUUAGCAUAGAGAUUUUCUUUAAAUAAAAUCUUACUUUUCUCAGAAAAUUCCAAACAAAUUUGGAGAGAGAGGGGGAAAAUAACCCUAGUUUCGCUUCUUAUACCUGUCCCAAAAUUUAGAAUAGUUUUCCUUGUUUCCAGCACUUGUCGUUUUUCCAACUUUCCUAACACCCUCUUCCCGGGCCUGGCUCCAGAAACAAAGACAAGUGAAGGUGCUUGAGUAUUCAUUCCAUUAUACAGAUGGAGAAACCGAGGUGCUGGGUAAGGGGCAGGAGCCAAUUCUGCCAGAGCGUAACUAACCUCUUAUCUCCCUCCUGGGACCAGGGAACAAACGGAGGGUGAGCACCGGUCAACAGGUGAGAAAUCUUUAGGAAGUGGGAAGGGCUACAAGUGUGAAGGCAGGCACUUAGUUCCUGUUUGAUUCUUUGACACCAGGCUCUUCCUGACCAUCUGCUCUCAACCAUCUCAGUGGGGCCUAAACCUCCUGCAGGAUUGUGCUGGGAGGGGCUUCCAGCUCCCCAUGCAGUUCAGAUCUUUCUCUCUAAGUCUGUGGGCCAAGAAAGCUGAAGAACUUGAAGAACUUGACCCCCUGUGGGUCACUCAGAGUGGGGCGGUAGACUCAAAUUUUGUUCAUUUACAGAUAAACCUCAGGGGGUGGGGUGUUUGCCUUACAGAAAACCUCGUAGCCUGGGUUUUAAUGUCACAGAGAGUGAAGGGACUUGUUAGAAAGUUUUAAGCAGCUGGAGUCAGGGUGGGGCAUCAGUGUUGUCAGGGCACUGUGAAAUCCCAGCCGGCCCUGCUCCUGGAAAACACCACUGCCCUAAAACGUGGAGUGGAGACCUGGAACGAGAGCUUUGCUGACUCACGAGGGGCCUCCUGCCUGUGGACGGGGAAGGAGCCUGGGUCUUCCUGUCUGGCUUGGGCUGGGCUCCCGCUAAGAACGCUGUUCUCAGUGAAAUUCAAAAAAUUGGCUCUUCUCCUUCAGGUAUUUUUGUUCCUCAGGAGAAAAAAAUGGGAAACCGGGGAGCAGUCAGGGGAGGUGGGAGGUCAGAGGCCAACGUAAUAUUUACCCAGCCUAGCCGAGGCCUUUCACUUUUAUGAAGCAGGAAACCACUUCAAAGCAGCAACAUCCCCUCUUGCCACUUCUGUCUGCCCGCUGGUCCUGCUGCCUCUAUAAGGCAAGGCAGGGCUUUUCUACACACCCCUUCCUCUGCUCCUGAACCUUCCACCCUCUCUCCCUUAAAGGGUGGAGCACACUGCCUGGCCGGCUGCUCCCUCUAACCCCUGCUCAAAGGUAAAAAGACCUGCCCAUAGUCACAGAGCAAUCACAAUCCAUAGGCUCCGCUGACAUUCUGAGCUGUCCCUGGCGUGUUCUCGUUCACUCAGUGAGUUGUCUACCACUCUCAGAAGCACUGGGGUUACAGCUCCUCAUCCAAAGCCCUGUUCCACCACCAGAGCAGAAGCGGAAAUGACGGCUAGGAAAGGCUCUAGAGACUGGAAUCUAGUGGUUCUUUACAUUGUGGAGGGGGCAAGAACUCCUUCUCUUCGGAAAUACAAGACUACACAUACCCACAUCAUUCUUGAAGAUAUAGAAUCUCCAAGGUUUCACAGGCCUCUUGAAGCCCAAGUAUGGCCCUAGCUCUGUGCUUCCCAGUGCAGGGGUCAGUUCCCUGACAGCAUCACUGAUGUGGCUCCCCCAGCCUCAGACGAGGUGCAGGGAGAGCAUGACCUUCCUUUAUAGGAUUAGAGACAGCCUUUGAGUUGAAAUCUUCGUCCUUCUAACCUUUCUCCAUUAGCAUCCCUUACCCUCUUUAUGGACAGAAAGCUUAAAGCAGAAUGGCUACCUUCUCUUUGAGUUGAAAUCUUCAUCCUCCUAACCUUUCUCUAUUAGUAUCCCUCUACCCUCUUUAUGGACAGAAAGCUUUAAAGAGAUUGGCUCCUUCUCCAGGUAGCAAGCACAUGGCAGAGGCAGCCCGAGGAGUGGACAGCCAAGGUGUAGGGAUAAAAUCCAAAUCUUCCCUCUCAGGUCCUUCCAUUUAAUAACUUCAUUCAGAUAAGAGUAGAUGCAUAAUAGCAGGAUUCUGGACACUUAAAUGUGAAUGUGGAUGAGUAAUAAUAUUUCCUGAGGCACCACACUGGCCUCUACACGCCAGCUCCAGAAGUACCAGAAAGGGAUGCAAUUUACAUAGAAUACAACACGAAAAUCCUUGGGAGUGUGCACCCUGGAGUCCUUGCCGUAGGAUAUUGACUAAUAGAAAACAACUCCAGCGCUGUCCAGUUUAAAAUCCUCAGAGAAGAACGAGGGGAAAACUGGGUAGGUACGGGUAGCUGUGAGAGGCUGGAGACUGCGAGAGCAUUAAAUAGUCAUCCUUCUUCACAGGAAACUGUGAAGUUCUCCAGCACCUCUGAGUCUCUCCUGGAAAUCUUCACCUCCCAUGACUUAAAGCAAAGGCUUUGAGGAGCUGUCUGCUCUCACUUCCUCUGACCCCCUAGUACACACUGUUAAUGCCAUUCUGCCUUUUACUAAAGGUAUUUGGGGGUACUUGGCUAUGCAAUUUCUUCCUCCACUCCCUGAGUGUACUGUAAAUGCCCUGAAGGUAAGAUCUAUUACUUUUUCAUCCUUGUAUUAGGAGGGAGCUACCACAUUCUUGGCACCACACAGGUGAUCGAUCCCUAUUUAUUUAAACUUAAAUGAAUUCCAAUUCCCGCUUUCAGUGUCAUCCUAUUUGGUUCAGUGCAAAGGGUAAGAAUCUCUCCUUCUUCUAUCCCUCUAUACUAUGGUUGAGAGGGAGGCUGUUUAGACAGAACAAGAGAAAGCCUGGGAGAACAACUCCUCCAAGAGGGCUGGGAGGUGCUAGGGUUCCUCUGUCAGAAGCUUCCGUCCUCUCAAAGCGUCGGAGAGAAUAUGUGUGUUUUGCGGGGAUCAGAGGAGACAGGCUCAUUCACCAGCUCUUCACUCGGAGCCCUGGGAUCCCUCCUCCUCUUCCCUCUGAAAGACAAGUUGAACUUUCCAAGGGCAACUCUACUACCUUUUAUCUUUCACCCUCAAAGUAAUUUUAGCCAAAGAAAAGCAGAAUUAAACUUUCAUAACACGAUACAUUUAUCUUGUUUUUCUUCUUUCUUUUCUCUAUCCUCCCUUCCCCCUGCCCUGACGUCCAGGUACAUCUGAGCUAAAGCAAACCAAGAUGAACUAUCAAGGGAUGCUAUCAGAUUGGAAGAGACGGGGCUAAGCUCUCUGGUCUCCUGCCCAUCCCAAUACUUCAAUAUUUUUCCAUGCCCCUGUUAGGCAGUUAUUAUCUCCUUAGAUAAGAAAAGCCUCUGGACUCUGCUGUCUCUCAAUAUUGUCCUCUGCUGAAAUGAAAGGGGGAAUUAUAAUUCAGAGAAAGAUUCCCACAGAGAAUAUGAAGAAAAAGAUUAAAUCAGCGAUACAAUGUUGACAUGCAUUCAGUUCCUGAAAGCUCUUUUAAAAAAAAGUCUCCUCAGGAGCAGUUUUGCUACUACCUGAGAGUCUCAAAAAUCUGUAUUUAGGGAGUUGGGAGAUGGGAAGCAUGUGAAGGCCCCUCGGGGUUGGGUCAGAAACUUCUGUUGCUGAUAAGAACGGCAAGGGCCUUUUGGCGGGCCAGCCAGCAGAUUGGACUCCCUGUUAAGUUGAGAAUGCACUCCCUCCCUGCCACCCAGCCCUAGACGUGACCUGUUGGGGCAGGCCUCUCCGGAGUUGCUCACAACCCAUGCAUCCCAGCUUAAUGCUGCAGGCGCCUUCUCAUCCUCUGCAAACAGACAGAGGCCCAAAGGUCCCACUGGCAAUAGGACCCUACCAGUUGUAGUCUCUGGGAAGUGACGGCUGGGAGUUUCGAAUAUAUCUCAUCUAUUAAUAUUUUUUUUCUUCUAAAAAAAAAAAAAAGCACAAAAGCCACUGUUUUGGGCCAAGCCUGGCUUUCAAGAGUCCCCUCUAGUGGAGAUAACCUGCUACUUCGGCUUCUCAGUUCAGCCCAGAGCCUCCCUGGCCAGUGAAGAUUCAGAAAACCCCCUUCUGCCUGCAAGGCUCUCUUUCCCACUUUUCUCUUUGUGUUCACUCUGAGCUCUGUCCACCCCCAUUCACACUGUUAAUCUCUCUGUCUUUAUCUUCCCUUGCUGUCUUCCUCCCUCUCUCCAUUUAUCUGUGCCUGUGCCCACAUCUUGACUUCUGUCUUUCCAUGUGUGCCUUUGCUCCUGCAUCUUGAUCUACAUCUUCCAUCCACCUGCUGGUUUUCUUUGAUGUUCAGGAUUCCAGGUCUGACUUGUUAGGAAUGCCUUGGUCAGGCCUUGGACCACAUGGACUCACUUCAAACGGCCAAAACAGCCACCCACAAGCCAGAUCCACAGUGAGAAGCACUAGGAAAAUCCUAGUGGUUAUAGAGCUGUCUAUAACCUGAGCUCAGAGCUCCUGCUCCGAAUCCUGUGUGAAGCCGGCUGCUCCCUUCAAUAGAUUCUCCCCACCUCUGUGCCUGCUUCCCAGUCUCUGACACACGCCCUGCCCUGCAAACAACUGGCAAUGCCUGGGUAAAGGGACAACUGGCAGUGCGUGGGAAGAGUAUGCUGGGGUAGGGGAAGAAGGUGAGGAAGAGGUGAGUGGGGGUCAGUGGCUGAGCCUGGGGCUGUGGCAGGACAGUGGAGACACAGCAAAUGUUAAGCUGGGGUGAAGGGGGGUAUGGGGGAACACCUGCUGGUCCUCUGAGUUUCCCAGAGAUAUUCUUUCACCCAAGAGAGAGACAGAACCAGAGCAGGGAAGGCGGUUAAUGGUUAACCAACUGUAGAAGCAGAGAACUUUUGCACUGCUCAGGCCUCAGCCAUUUCUUUCAGCUCUGUGCCCUUCCUUCCUCCUCUCCCCUUACACUCUUACCCCGCAAGGACCCUGCUCCCCAACAAAGAACUUUCUCGCCUCUAUUUAUGCCCUCCAAUUCCAGAUGGAGCAGUGUGGAGCUAGAUAAAGAGGUUCCAUAUGCCCAAAUGCCAGGGAAUGAGGCCCAGGAGAGCCUGAGGGCUAAGCCCAGGAGGACGGGGAUAUCCUCUUCUUACCAGCCAUCCCUCCCUCGUGCCUUGAGACCAGCUGUUUGACCCUGGGAAGAACUGCCUUUCUCUCUGUCUCCAUAGGGCUCACCUUUAGAAAUGACCGAAAAAGAAGUGGAUGCACACCCACCCCUCAUUUACUCUAAUCAGGCAUGAAAUCUUUGUAACGAAGUGAAAAAACUGUUCAGGGAACUGGUUCCAUUCAUCAUUGUUUGAACUGAGCAUAUGUGAAGGGUAGAAAUAGAAUAUUCACAUAUAAUGAAUUGAUAACAGACUGCCCCUGGGUGGGGCGGUGGUGAUUGGGGCUGAGGGGGGAACGCACACGAGCUGUAAAACUCCCAGCACCUCAAAGCCUGUUUCUACCAGUUUCCCUAUGGACAGUCAGUCCUGAAUUAUUUCUAGUUAACAGACUGUAACACAAUGCUCCAGUCUCUUUAUGAUCAGAAUGGGGGUGGGGGGUGGGGGCUUGGCUAGGCGCUCCUUGCCUCUCCAUUUGCCAUGAUGGACAGAAGUAUAUUGUGCCUCAGUUCGUGUGUGUGGAGACAGCUGUGUGGCAAUGCAGGGAGACAGCUGGUGGUGGUGGGGAGGUGCUGCUGGAGACAGGAAUUGCCUCCCCCACACCAAACCCUAUAUCUUAGGGAGGCAAUCAUAGAAAAUGAGGUAGGAUAGAAACUAUAAAACCCCCAAACAGUGACAACUCCAGCACCAUAAAUAUUUCAUAGCACCUAAAGUGGUGAGUUUAGGCUGCUGUCAGCUGCUGCCUUGUAUAUUUAACCAUGUCACUGGUUUCCCCUCCUGUUCCUAUGUUUUCUUGUAACCUGCCCAUGAAAUAAAGAUUAGCUGAGUAAGCAGAAGUAUUGGUAAAUGGGAAAGGGACCUAGGAAACAGGUAGCUGUUCUUUGAGGGCUUUCUUUUUAACCUCAUUUUAAGUGCAGACUUCAGUAAAACAGAUGGUGAAGGAACUUUUACAUUCACCGCAUCUGCAGCUUUUGAUGGUCAAGAGAGUUGCAGGGUGAAUGUUCCCUGGUGCUCUGAAGACAGGGAUAGGUAUUCAGACUAGCUCUGAAAGGGGGGCCACCAACCUUGUAAUGACAUGGUUUUGGGCGAUGGACAUAAGACACUGCCAUACUCUUCAUUUAGACUUGGGCUGAAAAGCUAGCCAGCCCCCCUGUCCUGCUCCAGGCUUUGAGGGACCCCUGUCCUUAUGCCCUGCCAAAAAGAAGGACCAGCUGGGAUUUCCUUGGCAGACUCAUGGUCCCUGGAUAGAGAUCUCCUGGUACUUUACCACUGCUGCUCCUCAGCAUCUUCCCUGCACAUCGCUCCAAAUGUCAUUUCCAUUUAACUGCUUUGCAAGCCAGUUUGCCCCCAUCCUAAUGCAAUUUGCUGAGGACAGUGAGGGAGCAGAGAGGGUAAUCUGCAUUGCCCUCCCUUUAUCAGCAGGUCCCUGAAGACGAUCGGCUGCGGAGUGGAGGGAAAUAGCUCCUUUAGGUAAUGCUGGUUGGUGGCAGCAGGGGCAAGUUCUGGAAUGAGGAGGGGUUGGUGGUGAUGCCAGGUGGAAGAAGGGGAAUGAAAAACAACCUCGCUAUGACAGAUUCCACUGUUUCCUUGGUUCCCUACCCUUUCUCUUCACUGCCCCUUCAGCCUCCAGGCCACCACCAAGGAGAGAUCCCAGGUAAUUAGUUCAAAUGGUGCUCCGUGAAGAGAGAGGGAAGUUAAUGAAUUCUUCUCUUUUCUUGCCUGGAGGUCAGAGGGGAGAGGGCUGCAAGCAACUCUGGGAGCUUUCUGGGGUUAUUGCAUAAAAGUUGUGCAUUUCAGUUAGGAAUAGCUGAAUUCCUCCAGCCAAGGUUAUCUCUUCCUGGGGCUCUGUCAAUCAGUAGAAGGCCCCAGAAUCCAAAGCCAACCCAGAGGGAAGAGUGAAGUUUCAAGAUCUGGGAAAGAAGCCCAGCAAAGGAGGGAGACUGCUAUUGUGUGGGGAGAGGGGAGAGCUAAACCUGACUCCUGCUCUCAAAGCCUCCAGCCCAGGCCAGCCAAGAUACUCAUCUUGGCCUGCCGCUCAUAAGCCUUGUCCACUGUGCGCGUGAAUGGAAGGAAAUGAAUGUGCCCCCAAAUUUCUGUGGGUUCUUCCAAACUGAUGGGCCCCCAAGUGACUGCCUCAAGCUAUGACUGGCAGUCCCAGUCCCCUCAAACUGAUGCUGCCUUCAUGUCCCUUGUGCACUUUCUACUGGUGUGCCACUGUCACUCUAAGAUUCCUACAGGGGACCUGUUCAGAUUUCCAUUGCCCACUUCAUGGGGCUCUCAUUUCUAGACCCUUACUGACCUAGAGCCCCAAAUCUUUUAUCCAACUUCCUCCCCACCAUUAUUUCUAUCCCUCCUGAGCAGAGCUGAGUUUGAGUAGGUAGCUCCCACUAGGGCAAGGGUCAUUCCAAACAGGUGGACUUUUUUCGGGGAUCUAAAAUGGUAGUUUCUGGUGACUCUCUGGGCAUCUAGACCAUGAUUGGCAUUAUAGAGACUACCUGUGGGAUGGAUAAAAAGGGCUAGAAUUUUCUAGGAUCCCUACCUCACUUGUGGGGUGGGGCAAGAAAGAGCACAUGGAAGGAAACAUUCUCAAAUGGUUCAUAAGGAGCCUCUGGGACCCUAAGCAAACUCCCAUUUCAACCCCCAGCACUCCUGUGGUGCUCAAACUAAGGGGCUGGACCCCUGCUGGGCGAUACACCGCAAAGGGAGCCCCGGGAGAUGAAACACUUAGACCCAUUCAGUGCCUAGGAAUCUCUCCCUGAGCCUUAUGGAACCCGCGCAAAUGAUGUUUUCCCAUUCCCCUGAUCUCCAGUCCCCGAUCGGAAGGGAGAGCCGGCGGCCACCAGGGACCCCGGCACUGGAGUGAACGCCCCCAAAUCGAUCGCUGGCCAGUGUGGCUUUGGGCUGUCUCGCUGGUGCCACCGAGGCCCUCUUUGGGCUCCAGCUCUCAGGACAGCCUUGCCGCC
rnacentral:lncRNA from 1 species